UACGUAGGGGGCUAGCGUUGUCCGGAAUCAUUGGGCGUAAAGCGCGUGUAGGCGGUCCGGUAAGUCCGCUGUGAAAGUCGGGGGCUCAACCCUCGGAUGCCGGUGGAUACUGUCGGGCUUGAGUACGGAAGAGGCGAGUGGAAUUCCUGGUGUAGCGGUGAAAUCGCGCAGAUAUCAGGAGGAACACCAAUUGCGAAGGCAGCUCGCUGGGACGUUACUGACGCUGAGACGCGAAAGCGUGGGGAGCAAACAGG
rnacentral:rRNA from 1 species